rnacentral:rRNA from 1 species
AGAGUUUGAUCAUGGCUCAGGAUGAACGCUAGCGGGAGGCUUAACACAUGCAAGUCGAGGGGCAUCACGGGUAGCAAUACCUGGUGGCGACCGGCAGACGGGUGAGUAACGCGUAUGUAACCUACCCUGUACAGGGGGAUAACCCGGAGAAAUUCGGACUAAUACCCCAUGGAAAUAUUGAGAGGCAUCUUGAGAUAUUUAAAGUUCCGGCGGUACGGGAUGGGCAUGCGUAACAUUAGCUAGUUGGUAAGGUAACGGCUUACCAAGGCUUUGAUGUUUAGGGGUCCUGAGAGGGUGAUCCCCCACACUGGUACUGAGACACGGACCAGACUCCUACGGGAGGCAGCAGUGAGGAAUAUUGGUCAAUGGGCGCAAGCCUGAACCAGCCAUCCCGCGUGCAGGAAGACGGCCCUAUGGGUUGUAAACUGCUUUUCCAGGGGGAGAAACUCCGGUACGUGUACCGGAUUGACGGUACCCUGGGAAUAAGCAUCGGCUAACUCCGUGCCAGCAGCCGCGGUAAUACGGAGGAUGCGAGCGUUAUCCGGAUUCAUUGGGUUUAAAGGGUGCGUAGGCGGACUAGUAAGUCAGUGGUGAAAUCCUGCAGCUUAACUGCAGAACUGCCAUUGAUACUGUUAGUCUUGAGUUUGGUUAAGGUAGGCGGAAUGUGUAAUGUAGCGGUGAAAUGCUUAGAUAUUACACAGAACACCGAUUGCGUAGGC